UCAACUCUCUCUUCUUCAUCCUCUCACUGAAACCGGCGGCCCUCUUACAAUACCAUCUGUUCUCCUCCAAUCCGGCGGGUAGAACACGUUCAUCUCCGGCAGCCUGUAAUACCGUAGGUACUUUCGGAUAGGAUUGAUCUUCCAUGUAUGCUUGUGAAAGGGAGUGUAUACAUAGGCAUUGAUGAGGGGGCUGUGAACUUGAUUAAAUUUGGUGAAGGAAGUAUCACGAAGAAACAAAUUUGUUGAUGAUGGAUCAAGGAGAGCUGUGAUUCGGAUUUAUAACAGUUCGAUUAACAAUCGGUUCGGGUUGGUAUCAGU